rnacentral:rRNA from 1 species
CCGAGCGGCAGCGACUUAACUGAACCUUCGGGGAACGUUAAGGGCGGCGAGCGGCGGACGGGUGAGUAAUGCCUGGGAAUAUGCCCUGAUGUGGGGGAUAACUAUUGGAAACGAUAGCUAAUACCGCAUAAUCUCCGAUCUUUUACGAGAUGGGAGCAAAGAGGGGGACCUUCGGGCCUCUCGCGUCAGGAUUAGCCCAGGUGGGAUUAGCUUGUUGGUGAGGUAAUGGCUCACCAAGGCAACGAUCCCUAGCUGGUCUGAGAGGAUGAUCAGCCACACUGGAACUGAGACACGGUCCAGACUCCUACGGGAGGCAGCAGUGGGGAAUAUUGCACAAUGGGGGAAACCCUGAUGCAGCCAUGCCGCGUGUGUGAAGAAGGCCUUCGGGUUGUAAAGCACUUUCAGUAGGGAGGAAGGUAGUGUAGUUAACACCUGCAUUAUUUGACGUUACCUACAGAAGAAGCACCGGCUAACUCCGUGCCAGCAGCCGCGGUAAUACGGAGGGUGCGAGCGUUAAUCGGAAUUACUGGGCGUAAAGCGCAUGCAGGCGGCUGUUAAGUCAGAUGUGAAAGCCCGGGGCUUAAC